rnacentral:rRNA from 1 species
UGGAUGAUGUGGUUUAAUUCGAUGCAACGCGAAAACCUUACCCACCUUUGACAUGUACGGAAUCCUUUAGAGAUAGAGGAGUGCUCGAAAGAGAGCCGUAACACAGGUGCUGCAUGGCUGUCGUCAGCUCGUGUCGUGAGAUGUUGGGUUAAGUCCCGCAACGAGCGCAACCCUUGUCAUUAGUUGCUACAUUCAGUUGGGCACUCUAAUGAGACUGCCGGUGACAAACCGGAGGAAGGUGGGAUGACGUCAAGUCCUCAUGGCCCUUAUAGGUGGGGCUACACACGUCAUACAAUGGUGCAUACAAAGGGAAGCAAACCUGCGAGGGCGAGCAAAUCCCAAAAAGUGCGACUCAGUUCGGAUUGCAGGCUGCAACUCGCCUGCAUGAAGCCGGAAUCGCUAGUAAUCGCGGGUCAGCAUACCGCGGUGAAUGUGUUCCUGAGCCUU